CAGCCGCCACGGUAAUACGUAGGGUGCGAGCGUUAAUCGGAAUUACUGGGCGUAAAGCGUGCGCAGGCGGUUUUGUAAGACAGAGGUGAAAUCCCCGGGCUCAACCUGGGAACUGCCUUUGUGACUGCAAGGCUAGAGUACGGCAGAGGGGGAUGGAAUUCCGCGUGUAGCAGUGAAAUGCGUAGAUAUGCGGAGGAACACCGAUGGCGAAGGCAAUCCCCUGGGCCUGUACUGACGCUCAUGCACGAAAGCGUGGGGAGCAAACAGGAUUAGAUACCCCUGUAGUCCCUGUCUCUUAUAC
rnacentral:rRNA from 1 species